UGCUCCCAUAUGGUUAAUGUUACUUGGUAUACCGAAAAUCUUUAAUCCUAUAAGAAUUAUUGGUGUUGUAGGUAUCCGUUUUUUAUAAAUUAUAUGUAAUUUGAGUAAGUGACAAAAAGAGUUGGGGAAUUAAUCCUGUGUGUGAUUUGGUCUUACGAAAUUUUAUCCUAAUGUGACCCGUAAACUGCGUUCUUGUUAUCAAAGCUAGUUUUUUUAUAUUCAACAGUGCGCACGUGAUCCUGUAUAGUCGAGUAAUUGCGUGAUAAGCAUGACAGCGAACUAUUAAGAUAUAUCGGCUAAAAAUAAAUACCAAUGCCUAGAAUAAGAUGCUACACCGAAACUUCCCAACGGAGGUGUGUGUAAUGUUAAAUGUUUAUGUCAUCAUAAGUAUACUAUUUAGGCACCAAAUUAGUAAUUUAUAGGGACUGUUUUAGGCAGUGUUUUAGCAAUACCAACGUGCUAAAAAUACGUAAAAAUUUAUCGUCUAACCUUCUGCACGAUGUACCAUAUAUUCUAUGUAUAAAAUCGUCGAGAAGUCAUGUUUCGUAUUUGCAUAUAAUGUUACUGCCUGACAUAGUCCUCUAGUUCGACGUUUACGAUUUAGAAUUGCACAAUGUAAUGUUAGUCGUCUAAAUUUAAAAUAUUGAUGACCGUAAGGAUCUUGUACGUGUGAUGUGGAUUCAAAUAUUGGACUAACGCGUAAAUUUUUGAGUCUAUAGUCUGUCACAAUAAGUCAUACUUUAAAAUUAUAGAUGAAAUUAACUCAUGCUCCCUAACUACGUUACAUUCGGGACCACAAACGUUACAAAUACUUAAACAUCAAACGAGGUUUAAAUCUCUACUUAUUUGUUAAUUAUAGUGAAUAACAUGUCAACGUCGAGAAUCAAUAGUUUGGAAAAAAUACUGGCUUGUGGCAAUAAAAUUAAAGGGAUAUGAAAUAGUACUUAAUUACGGGACGUUGCUCACUUUAGGUGCAGGAGAUAAAUUCGUAGAAAGUAUAAUUUUGGAAGUUUUCGUAAGAACUAUUCUAUCUUAACACCAAUCGUAAUACCUUAGCUGUUAGGUGUAAAUUUGAAAUGUGAUGUUAUUACCUACCUAACGACGAACGUACAAAUAAUAUAAAGAGAAUAUCCACGAAACAACUAAUCUGAGUAGGAAAUAUAUAGAAAUAUUUUUAUACCAUUAUGAAAUAAAUAGUUCUGAAAUAUAGGCCAUUAUCAAUUUUCCCUUUGACAUUAAUAUUUGAAUAGUGUAGUACAAGAAAUUUUUCUUUCAGUGUAAAGCUAGUAAUGGUAAUAGAACGCUUUUUAUAAUUUAUAUGAUUAGCAGAAACCUUUAGCAAUAUAUAUAUUUCUUUCAUUCCAUAUAAUUAGAUCGGAAGAGAAAACGUGCUGCUCGAUAGCUUAGGAGAUACAAAUAUAAUAUAGUACAACUAAUGGCCUUGAACCAUGACGCAGAUAUACAAGUUGAACAUAGCGUAUAAAUCUUACUUACUUAUCGCAGUUCACAAGUUGCGAUGCAUUUGUGUUUCUGAUUGUUAUGGAAUAAAAAUAUAGGGUGAAUUAAUUCAGGUGAAUUAAGUUACGCACCCAAAAAUAUAAUGUACGUAGAUAUUACAAAUAUUUUUUUGCAAUUUUACAUGAUCACUGUAGAUUUGAGUAAUACGCAGUUUUGCCUCUGUUACUGCACAUAAACCAAUGUUGCAGAUGUUUUAGACAACACGAGCCGUAAUAACUCGUCGGUGCCUCAAUAUAUUUUUUCAAGUUUCAUAUAUGAGAGUAACGUUAGUAGUAUAUUGUAAUGAAAUAGAACUUAGAAAUUGCCGUUAAAUCCUUAAAUCUUGUAACUGAUCGCUAAAGCAUGUUACUGUAAAUAGAUCGUGCUUAACAUUGUUCUGAUUUUUAAACAUAAGACAUAGCUUUUUCUUGAUAGGGGCAAUAAGUACGCACGAUAAAUAGGCGUAAUACGCACCUUAACAAGUAACACGUAAAGAAAAAAGUUUAGUCUUCCAUUUUAGAGAACAAAAAUGCUGUAAAAUUACCUGUUCUACGCCCGCGACUGAUAGAAAACUUCAAGUAGCUACACUCUGUUUUAGAACAAAUAAUCUAUAAUCUUGAAGAAAAAGGCACACAGUAGCUAUAAUUCAUAGUGUAAUGACUGUCUGUGGCCACGAAAUGCAUCAUCGAAUUCCUAAAAUCACACGUAUUUUACAUAUUUUCAUAAACAAACGUUUGACGUUAAAUUGGCUUUGUACGUGCAUAAAAUUAAUAUUAAUCUAAAUGCAAAAUGUCUAUUUGUAAGAAAAUACAUAAGCCUACUAAGAGAA